GACGAACGCUGGCGGCGUGCCUAAUACAUGCAAGUAGAACGAGUUGCGAACGGGUGAGUAACGCGUGGUAACCUGCCUCAUAGCGGGGGAUAACUAUUGGAAACGAUAGCUAAUACCGCAUACUGUGAGAUGGACCUGCGUUGUAUUAGCUAGUAGGUGGGGUAAUGGCUCACCUAGGCGACGAUCCCUAGCUGGUCUGAGAGGCUGACCAGCCAAACUGAAACUUAGCCACGUUCCAGACUCCUACGUGAGGCAGCAGUGGGAAAUAUGGCACCAUGGGCGCAAGCCUAAUGCAGCCAUGCCGCGUGUAUGAAGAAGGCCUUCGGAUUGUAAAGUACUUUCAGCGAGGAGGCGUUACUCGCAGAAGAAGCACCGGCUAACUCCGUGCCAGCAGCCGCGGUAAUAC
rnacentral:rRNA from 1 species